UACGUAGGGUGCAAGCGUUAAUCGGAAUUACUGGGCGUAAAGCGUGCGCAGGCGGUGAUGUAAGACAGGUGUGAAAUCCCCGGGCUUAACCUGGGAACUGCAUUUGUGACUGCACGGCUGGAGUGCGGCAGAGGGGGAUGGAAUUCCGCGUGUAGCAGUGAAAUGCGUAGAUAUGCGGAGGAACACCGAUGGCGAAGGCAAUCCCCUGGGCCUGCACUGACGCUCAUGCACGAAAGCGUGGGGAGCAAACAGG
rnacentral:rRNA from 1 species